UGGUUUUCACAUGGAUAAGAUAUUUUACGGGUUUUUUUAGGUAUUUCAUCCCUUUUCAUUCUUCUUCUUCCAGCCGUUUCUUUCUUCUUCUCGAUUCUUCUGGACAGAGAGAAGAACACCCAUACCGCGAAGGGCACCAACCAUACCGAAGGACGAUUCCUUCUACCAAACGCAUCAACAAAUCGUCCGUUUGGUAGAAGUGGGCAUUGCUUCCUCUGUCUUCUUCUUCUGCCUCUACGGUUUCUGGUUAGAAUCAGAUUCAUGAAGCCGGUGAAAGGACGAGUCCGCUUUCGAAUCGUCUAUGGCCAAAUCUCUGCUUUCGACUAGGAGGCUCCAGCUUAAUCCUUCCUCCCGGUGGACCUUCUGCCCAGCUUCGUGGGCGCUGCCUCGUCCCCAAACGACACUUUGGAGUGGAAAUGCGCGUGCUUUUACAAGAACAGGGCUUGGAUGGAGUUCCACAACAAGAGCGACACUAUAUUGGCGGUGGUACCCUUCACAUCAAGCCUCCCAAAAUCAAAGCGUUUACGGAUAAGGUGAUCUAGUGUUCAUUACAAGAUAUCGCUAUACCUCUUUCUGGUUUUCGUUGGGAGUACAGUAAGGGGAACUUUCACCAUUGGAGGCCGCUGUUUCUGCAUUUUGAUACAUAUUUCAAGACAUACCUUUCUUCUAGGAAUGAUCUCCUCUUGUCAGAUAAAAUUUUAGAAGAUGAUAGUCUAUUUCCAAAGCAUGCAAUUCUACAAAUUUUACGAGUAAUGCAAACAAUUUUUGAGAAUUGCCAUAACAAGAGUUUAAUUGAUGGCUUAGAGAAUUUCAAGCUUCUGCUUGCAUCAACAGAUCCAGAGAUUCUUAUAGCUACACUAGAAACUCUUUCUGCACUUGUGAAACUAAACCCACCAAGCUGCAUGGAGGUGGGGAAUUAAUUGGUUGUGGCUCAGUAAAUAGCUAUCUAUUGUGUCUAGCACAGGGGUGGGGAAGCAAGGAGGAGGGCUUGGUACCCUACACAUCAAGUUCUGGAAUUUGAGCUUACUUGCUUGUUUUCUUUCGUUUUUAGUUGGUUUUGUUGGAUUCUGGAGUAUUGGGUAUCUGGGUAUUGUAGUUGGAUUUUGCUGCUGUCUUGAAUUCAACUUGGAUUUUUGGGUUUAUUUUGCUUGUUUUGUUUGAGUUUAGUUGGUUUUGUUGUAAAUUGGAGUAUUGGGCAUCUAAUUUUGGCAGUAAAACCCUUCGCAUCAAGCUGUUCAAUUAAAGUUGCUUUUUAUGAGAUUGUUGUGCUUGUUUUCUUUGGUUUUAGUUGUUUUUUGUUUGAUUUUGGAGUAUUGGGUAUAUCUGUGUAUUCUACUGGAAUUGAACAUAGUUUUAUGGGUUUAUUUUUCUUGUUUUGUUUAAGUUAGUUUUAUUGUAAUUUGGAUUCUUGGGACCUACCUUAGAUGUUCAUGUGAUUUAAGUCGAGGAUGAGGCUGCCAUUACGGAAGAGGAUUUGAAAACAAUAGGAUGUUGGCGUGUGCCUAUUAAACUCUACACCAUAAAACGAAUUGCAAACCAAAGGGUUUAUUUGUCAAUACUUGUACAGAGGAUACUACAACAUUAUAUAUUGGUUUACAAGUAUAAAGACAGGGAUGAUUUGGCUGGUUUGUAUUUCUCCAAUUGAUCAAGAGAUGUAGCUGUUCUUCUGAAAAACUCUCCAUACAAGGGCCAAUUGCUUGCCGCACCCGCCCGAGGAAGAGAAGUGGAUAUGAACAGAUCAGAGGCUAAUUUGAAAGAAGGCAACCUCUACUACGUCAUUCCAAUAGAUAAUGCUAGCAUGGUGUUUGGUUUACUACAAGCUAGAAGGGAGUACACUCGUGGGUCUCCAUCAGAGCUGUUGCACAUGCAGGUUGGUGGUGGUUUCGAGAGAAGAAUAUGGUCUAUGAAAUCGUCAUUCAUGCCCCCCUAAAAAAAAAUGAAGUCCUUAAUUGGUAAUAAAAGCAUUAAGAGGCGAUACUUACUCAUUUAGUGGUUGUCACAAAUGUACCCCAACAUAUUAAAUUAAAAAGAUAUACAUCAGCUAUGGAGCUGUGGAAUUUUAGUCUAUAAGACUGAUUUGGUAGUGUUUAUGUAUGUAUAGGUUAUUAGGACUGAUGAAAGGGAAAUAU